rnacentral:rRNA from 1 species
CCUACGGGUGGCAGCAGUGAGGAAUAUUGGUCAAUGGACGAGAGUCUGAACCAGCCAAGUAGCGUGAAGGAUGACUGCCCUAUGGGUUGUAAACUUCUUUUAUAUGGGAAUAAAAUGUUCCACGUGUGGGAUUUUGUAUGUACCAUAUGAAUAAGGAUCGGCUAACUCCGUGCCAGCAGCCGCGGUAAUACGGAGGAUCCGAGCGUUAUCCGGAUUUAUUGGGUUUAAAGGGAGCGUAGGUGGAUUGUUAAGUCAGUUGUGAAAGUUUGCGGCUCAACCGUAAAAUUGCAUUUGAAACUGGCAGUCUUGAGUACAGUAGAGGUGGGCGGAAUUCGUGGUGUAGCGGUGAAAUGCUUAGAUAUCACGAAGAACUCCGAUUGCGAAGGCAGUUCACUGGACUGCAACUGACACUGAGGCUCGAAAGUGUGGGUAUCAAACAGGAUUAGAUACCCGAGUAGUC